rnacentral:piRNA from 2 species
UACAAGAGUGCUUUACCAGUUCUUUUGACU